GACGAAGGGGGCUAGCGUUGUUCGGAAUUACUGGGCGUAAAGCGCGUGUAGGCGGUUGCCCAAGUCGGGGGUGAAAGCCUUGAGCUCAACUCAAGAAAUGCACUCGGUACUGGGUGACUAGAGGACCGGAGAGGAUAGUGGAAUUCCCAGUGUAGUGGUGAAAUACGUAGAGAUUGGGAAGAACACCAGUGGCGAAGGCGGCUAUCUGGACGGUUUCUGACGCUAAGACGCGAAAGCGUGGGUAGCAAACAGG
rnacentral:rRNA from 1 species